rnacentral:rRNA from 1 species
AGAGUUUGAUCCUGGCUCAGGAUGAACGCCGGCGGUGUGCCUAAUACAUGCAAGUCGAACGCGUUGGCCCAAUUGAUUGAUGGUGCUUGCACCUGAUUGAUUUUGGUCGCCAACGAGUGGCGGACGGGUGAGUAACACGUAGGUAACCUGCCCAGAAGCGGGGGACAACAUUUGGAAACAGAUGCUAAUACCGCAUAACAACGUUGUUCGCAUGAACAACGCUUAAAAGAUGGCUUCUCGCUAUCACUUCUGGAUGGACCUGCGGUGCAUUAGCUUGUUGGUGGGGUAACGGCCUACCAAGGCGAUGAUGCAUAGCCGAGUUGAGAGACUGAUCGGCCACAAUGGGACUGAGACACGGCCCAUACUCCUACGGGAGGCAGCAGUAGGGAAUCUUCCACAAUGGGCGCAAGCCUGAUGGAGCAACACCGCGUGAGUGAAGAAGGGUUUCGGCUCGUAAAGCUCUGUUGUUAAAGAAGAACACGUAUGAGAUUAACUGUUCAUACGUUGACGGUAUUUAACCAGAAAGUCACGGCUAACUACGUGCCAGCAGCCGCGGUAAUACGUAGGUGGCAAGCGUUAUCCGGAUUUAUUGGGCGUAAAGAGAGUGCAGGCGGUUUUCUAAGUCUGAUGUGAAAGCCUUCGGCUUAACCGGAGAAGUGCAUCGGAAACUGGAUAACUUGAGUGCAGAAGAGGGUAGUGGAACUCCAUGUGUAGCGGUGGAAUGCGUAGAUAUAUGGAAGAACACCAGUGGCGAAGGCGGCUACCUGGUCUGCAACUGACGCUGAGACUCGAAAGCAUGGGUAGCGAACAGGAUUAGAUACCCUGGUAGUCCAUGCCGUAAACGAUGAGUGCUAGGUGUUGGAGGGUUUCCGCCCUUCAGUGCCGGAGCUAACGCAUUAAGCACUCCGCCUGGGGAGUACGACCGCAAGGUUGAAACUCAAAGGAAUUGACGGGGGCCCGCACAA